rnacentral:sRNA from 1 species
AAAUAAACCUGAUAGAAUGAAAAGCCCACAGCGAGGAGUGAGGACUUGAAGUGAUAGCAGGACAGUCA